ACCUACGGGACGCAGCAGUGAGGAAUAUUGGUCAAUGGGCGGGAGCCUGAACCAGCCAAGUCGCGUGAGGGAAGACGGUCCUAUGGAUUGUAAACCUCUUUAGGCGGGGAGCAAUGCCGGGCACGUGUGCCCGGAGGGAGAGUACCCGCAGAAUAAGCAUCGGCUAACUCCGUGCCAGCAGCCACGGUAAUACGUAGGUGGCAAGCGUUGUCCGGAUUUACUGGGUGUAAAGGGCGUGUAGCCGGGCUGACAAGUCAGAUGUGAAAUCCGGGGGCUCAACCCCCGAACUGCAUCUGAAACUGUUG
rnacentral:rRNA from 1 species